AUUGAACGCUGGCGGCAUGCCUUACACAUGCAAGUCGAACGGCAGCACGGGAGCUUGCUCCUGGUGGCGAGUGGCGAACGGGUGAGUAAUACAUCGGAACGUACCCUGAAGUGGGGGAUAACGUAGCGAAAGUUACGCUAAUACCGCAUAUUCUGUGAGCAGGAAAGAGGGGGGAUCGCAAGACCUCUUGCUUUAGGAGCGGCCGAUGUCGGAUUAGCUAGUUGGUGAGGUAAAGGCUCACCAAGGCGACGAUCCGUAGCGGGUCUGAGAGGAUGAUCCGCCACACUGGGACUGAGACACGGCCCACGACUCCUACCGGGAGGGCAGCAGUGGGGGAAGUUUUGGUACAAUGGGCGGAAGCCUGAUCCAGCCAUGCCGCGUGAGUGAAGAAGGG
rnacentral:rRNA from 1 species